rnacentral:rRNA from 1 species
UGGGGAAUUUUCCGCAAUGGGGGGAACCCUGACGGAGCAACGCCGCGUGCGGGAGGACGGCCUGUGGGUUGUAAACCGCUUUUCUCUAGGAAGAAGGUCUGACGGUACUAGAGGAAUCAGCAUCGGCUAACUCCGUGCCAGCAGCCGCGGUAAGACGGAGGAUGCAAGCGUUAUCCGGAAUUAUUGGGCGUAAAGCGUCCGUAGGCGGUUUAUCAAGUCAGUUGUUAAAGACUGCAGCUCAACUGUGGGCGAGCAACUGAAGCUGAUUAACUAGAGUGCGGUAGGGGUAGAGGGAAUUCCCAGUGUAGAGGUGAAAUUCGUAGAUAUUGGGAAGAACACCGAUGGCGAAGGCAGCCAUCUGGACCGGUAUUGACGCUGAGGCGCGAAAGCGUGGGGAGCAAACAGGAUUAGAUACCCCGGUAGUCC